GCCGGGGUGGCCGAGUGGUUCUAGGCGCUACAGUCUGGAACACUGCGGUCGCAGGUUCGAAUCCUGCCCCGGGCA